GUACAUUUUGAAUACCUAUUAUGGAGUAUAUCAUUGCAUAUUUUCUUAUAAAUUGGCGUUGAAAAAGUGAGAAUUCAUUUAACUUAAGAGGUUUUGAGGUUACAUUAGCGAACUAGCCCCUGAUUACUUAUAAAUAAUGUACACCUUUGAAUCUUUUUUUUUUCUUUAAUCUUUCCAUUCCCAUAUCCUUUAGAUGUCAUAUUUCCAUUGUGUAGUUGUUUUACAUUCAUCUUGAGAUAAAACGAGAAGAUCUAAAUAAAAAUUAUAUGCCACGUGACCACUCAAUAAUCAAUGGCUUCGUGCCACGUCAUGACCUCAUAGAAUGAAUACCACACGUCUUGCCAUCUUAACUAGCAAUAAUUUAUGCACCACUCAUCCACAUAAAUGCAUAUAAAUGUAGAAUUAAAAAAAACACCUAAACUAAAAACAAAUGAAACUCAUAUCACUCUUUCAAUUCUUUUCAACAAUUUAACAUUAUAUUUCUACCCGUAAAAAAAAAAUUAUAUUUCUAAAUAAUUAAUACUAAAAAAUUCAAACUCUUAAUUAAAAUAUAAAAAAAAAACUCUAAGCAAUGGCAGUGCAUGAGUAACACUUUAAUUUUUAAUGAAAAUUAGGUUUAUAAAAAUAUUGUACUGAUUAAACAUUUUUCUGAAAUCGGGAGAGAAACUCUAACCUACUCGAGUCAUCCCUCAUUAUCGAUAAAACGAAUUUUAACCUAGGUGAUAAAAUUGGGACUCUCGAUAAAAACUUGUACGCCGUAUUACCUGAUACAGUAAAUUAAAACCUUCCAAAAAUGGCGGUUAAAGAAAAAGCCGCUUAGAAUUCGUCUUCAUCUAUCAAAUCUCUUUUGCUUACUCUAAAAUUUUCAAAUCUUUCUCCUUCUUCCUUUCCCUCCUUCUGCAAAUCCCAUUUUCUCGAUCCCCUAAAACCUCCUCCACCAAUACGCAUUGUUCAUCUGAAUUCCUAUGCGGGUUAUGCCCACCAACUGUUUGUUCUAAUUCCUCAGUGAGAACCACCAGUUUACUAGCCAUUUUCUGGGAAUUUAGAUGCCUUUCACCUUUGUCUUCACCACGUGUGGUAAUGCAAAGCUCAUGGAAGAAGAGAAAAGCAUAAGACAUGAUGAAAUUUCGAAGUUUCUAGGAGUUGACUGUAGAAAACUACAAGCAACACUUUUAAUGGCCUGUCACUAGCAACAUCUAUCACCAACACAUUACAUAUUCCACAGUGUAACAGAUUCAAAACUAAGAAACUAUUGUGAUAAUAAGGUAUGUGGCACUCGUGUGUGCUUUAUCUUGUCACGAUGGUUUCGCUAAGAAUAUAAAUCUAAAGCUUUGCUUCUAACAGUGACUUUUUGUGUUGCAUUGGCAUGGCAGAACUGCUAUGGCUUGCACUCCUGGAGGGUGUCUUUUCCUUUGCAUAUCGAGAUCGCAACUCAGGAGAGUAAUUAACUAAUUAUCACUUAUCAGCGUGCAGACAUCGGAGACUGAAGCUGUAAACAAGGAAAAUAAGGUGAUCUAACAAGAGGAGAGAAUAAAUACUAUUUCGCAGUAUAAUGUGGUGAGUUUAUUUUUCAAAUUUUUUUUCUCCAAGUGUUUAAACUUAUCUGUAUGAUUUUUUGGUGGUUGAUGCUAGAAAAUCAAUGUGUUAGGUGAUUAUUAAUCACUAAUUUUGUAAAAGAGUUAAAAUUGGAAUUAUAAACUCCAUAUUAUAUACUCCCUCCAUGUAGUUUCAUAGUAAUGACUGCGUAUUUUUUUUAAAAUUUUACUAAAACUUAAUGUACGAUAUUACGGAGUAAUAAUCAAACGAGUGAGAGUGACUGAUAGCUCAAGUGGUUAGAGUUUUCCUCCUAGUCUCCAACUCUCCACAGAUUCUUAGAUUGAUUCUUACCUCCACCCUUGUGGAGGUAUAAACCCGAAAAAAACAAUCAUACGAGUAAUUUGGUCUAUAAAAAAAGUAUGCGGUAGAUGAAGCAAACAUUAAGAAAUGGAUGAAUUAUCUCUUUAAAAAAAAAAAAAAAAAACUGGCUAAAUUAUUAAAGAACUGGAUAAAUUAUUGACCAAAAUUUUAUUCUUAUUAAAAAAAAAAAAAAAAAAAAAAAAGUAUAGACGGAGCUAAUGCAGUUUAGGAUAAGUGAGAAUUGGCAUCUCAGCUGUACUGUCGUUGAUCAUAAUGGAAGUUGGAAUAAUUGAGCCAACUGUACAAUGCUUAAACGUGUAGCUACAUAGUUGGUAAUCAAGGUUCUAAAACAUUAUCCAUCUGAUAAUUCAAUAUUACAAGUUGAAUGAAUGUGCUCCCAUCUUUCUCCGUCUUAUCAUUUGUUCGAUAGCUUGAUUUUAGACUGACACAUGUUAUAUUCUUCUUACACCAUUUGGCUAACGAUUUAUUCUAGAAGGUGCCAAGCUCAUAUCACUCACUUAUCUAAGUCCAUUUUAGUGUUUUCCUGAAUUCAUCUAUUUAUUUUUAUUACGUAAUUUACUAGAUGUUCACGUGAAUCAUGUCUCUCUUGAUUUGACUGUUUUUUUUUUUUUAUAACUAAAAUAUAAUAAUUCUAAAUGUUUAAAAUAUUAGAAGAAUUAAAAUUAUGCAAUAAAUCUAGAGGAUACAUUUAUGUUAAGGGUUUGUUCAUUUUAUUUUUUCCGUUUUAUGUUUCUUAGAAAACUAAAUAAAAAAAAAACUAUACAUGCACAAGUAAAUUAUAGUGGUUUAUAAUUUUUUAUUAAUCAAUAUUUUAAAAAAUGAAAUUUAAGAACUGAAAACUACUCUGUUUAGGGAUAUAAAAAAAAAAAAAAAAACCCAAGAUCCCGUAAAAAAAAAAAAUCCUUAAGAUGAUGAUGUUGGGAGUUUAAUUAGUACUCAGUAAUUACUACAGAGUAAGAGAUUGCCUUUUUUAAAAAUCACAUUUUAGUCUCUUAUGUAUGUAUGCUUUGUACUUUGUGACUUUUUGUAGCAUUUGGAAUGAAUUUUCUGCACUUUUAACUUGCUUAGGUUUAAACACAGUACAAAAAUACAAGGACUAACUUGUUUGAACUUUGAAGAAUUCAAAGACAUUUGUUCAAAUCGAAGAAAAUUAAAAUUAAAAAUUUAUAAGGACUUAAUGUAUUUUCUUUCACCUUUAAAUACACACAGAUCAGACUUUAGUGGAUGAAUUGGUUAGACAAUAGACUUAUAGACUCAUGGACUGCUGAAGGAAAAGGAGACAUUUUAGUGGAUAAUUUGGUUAAAAUGAUGAGAUCAGCAACUUUUCUAUGAACUAUUGAAUUUUUUUAUAAAUUUUUUCUACUACUUUUAUUAAGGACGAAUAAUAUGUCAUUGAUAGAAAGUUGUCUGCCAUUUGUAAUGAAAUUAAUUCGUGAACAUCUCAUCAACUUAAAUAAUAAUAAUAAUAAUAAUAAUAAUAAUAAUAAUAAUAAUAAUAUUUCUG